CACGCAGGCGGUCCGUCAAGUCGGAUGUGAAAUCCCCGGGCUCAACCUGGGAACUGCAUUCGAAACUGGCAGGCUAGGGUCUUGUAGAGGGGGGUAGAAUUCCAGGUGUAGCGGUGAAAUGCGUAGAGAUCUGGAGGAAUACCGGUGGCGAAGGCGGCCCCCUGGACAAAGACUGACGCUCAGGUGCGAAAGCGUGGGGAGCAAACA
rnacentral:rRNA from 1 species